UUAGGGUUGAGCUAAGAAUGAGUCUCAGACUUUGAGAUUACUUUUAAAAUAGAAAUGAAGAUCAAGAAAGGCUACAUUUGGCAAAAGUGCAUGGAAGAAGCUGCUUCAAGCUCUGGGGUUGCCUCACCAUCAAGGGAUCCCCUUUUACAACCAAUAUUGUUAUGUUGAUCACACUCACCCAGUGAAGGUGAAAGGAAAGCAGAUUUUGUUUUCAAGUGAGAAAAAAUACCAUGAAAUACCAUGGAUUACUUGAGUGUAUUCUGUAGGGGAAUGGAUUGAGACAACAUUGCAAUUAAAACAUGGACUUCCAUUAUUUUCUCUUAUUCUAAAUUUAUAUUUGAAAAAUAUAAUUUCAGAGGGAAGCACAUGCUAAAA
rnacentral:lncRNA from 1 species